AUUGAACGCUGGCGGCAGGCCUAACACAUGCAAGUCGAGCGGAUGAAGGGAGCUUGCUCCUGGAUUCAGCGGCGGACGGGUGAGUAAUGCCUAGGAAUCUGCCUGGUAGUGGGGGAUAACGUCGGGAAACGGGCGCUAAUACCGCAUACGUCCUGAGGGAGAAAGUGGGGGAUCUUCGGACCUCGCGCUAUCAGAUGAGCCUAGGUCGGAUUAGCUAGUUGGUGGGGUAAAGGCCUACCAAGGCGACGAUCCGUAACUGGUCUGAGAGGAUGAUCAGUCACACUGGAACUGAGACACGGUCCAGACUCCUACGGGAGGCAGCAGUGGGGAAUAUUGGACAAUGGGCGAAAGCCUGAUCCAGCCAUGCCGCGUGUGUGAAGAAGGUCUUCGGAUUGUAAAGCACUUUAAGUUGGGAGGAAGGGCAGUAAGUUAAUACCUUGCUGUUUUGACGUUACCAACAGAAUAAGCACCGGCUAACUUCGUG
rnacentral:rRNA from 1 species